rnacentral:rRNA from 1 species
GCCCAGACUCCUACGGGAGGCAGCAGUGGGGAAUAUUGCACAAUGGGGGAAACCCUGAUGCAGCGACGCCGCGUGAGUGAAGAAGUAAUUCGUUAUGUAAAGCUCUAUCAGCAGGGAAGAAAAUGACGGUACCUGAGUAAGAAGCCACGGCUAACUACGUGCCAGCAGCCGCGGUAAUACGUAGGUGGCAAGCGUUGUCCGGAUUUACUGGGUGUAAAGGGCGUGCAGCCGGGAAGACAAGUCAGAUGUGAAAUCCCGCGGCUCAACCGCGGAACUGCAUUUGAAACUGUUUUUCUUGAGUACCGGAGAGGUCAUCGGAAUUCCUUGUGUAGCGGUGAAAUGCGUAGAUAUAAGGAAGAACACCAGUGGCGAAGGCGGAUGACUGGACGGCAACUGACGGUGAGGCGCGAAAGCGUGGGGAGCAAACAGGAUUAGAUACCCUCGUACG